rfam:Hordeum patagonicum clone HPAT009 5S ribosomal RNA gene, complete sequence.
CGAUGCUUUAGUGCUGGUAUGAUCGGCAUGAUCCCAUCAGAACUCCAAAGUUAAGCGUGCUUGGGCGAGAUUAGUUCUAGGAUGGGUGACCUCCUGGGAAGUCCUCGUGUUGCAUUAC